AUUGAACGCUGGCGGCAGGCUUAACACAUGCAAGUCGAGCGGGGUGAUGGUGCUUGCACUAUCACUUAGCGGCGGACGGGUGAGUAAUGCUUAGGAAUCUGCCUAUUAGUGGGGGACAACAUCUCGAAAGGGAUGCUAAUACCGCAUACGUCCUACGGGAGAAAGCAGGGGAUCACCUGUGACCUUGCGCUAAUAGAUGAGCCUAAGUCGGAUUAGCUAGUUGGUGGGGGUAAAGGCCUACCAAGGCGACGAUCUGUAGCGGGUCUGAGAGGGGGAUCCGCCACACUGGGACUGAGACACGGCCCAGACUCCUACGGGAGGCAGCAGUGGGGAAUAUUGGACAAUGGGGGGAACCCUGAUCCAGCCAUGCCGCGUGUGUGAAGAAGGCCUUAUGGUUGUAAAGCACUUUAAGCGAGGAGGAGGCUCUUUUGGUUAAUACCCAAGAUGAGUGGACGUUACUCGCAGAAUAAGCACCGGCUAACUCUGUGCCAGCCGCCGCCGUAA
rnacentral:rRNA from 1 species